rnacentral:rRNA from 1 species
GCGGCGAGCGAACGGGGAGGAGCCCAGAGCCUGAAUCAGUGUGUGUGUUAGUGGAAGCGUCUGGAAAGGCGUGCGAUACAGGGUGACAGCCCCGUACACAAAAAUGCACAUAUUGUGAGCUCGAUGAGUAGGGCGGGACACGUGGUAUCCUGUCUGAAUAUGGGGGGACCAUCCUCCAAGGCUAAAUACUCCUGACUGACCGAUAGUGAACCAGUACCGUGAGGGAAAGGCGAAAAGAACCCCGGCGAGGGGAGUGAAAAAGAACCUGAAACCGUGUACGUACAAGCAGUGGGAGCCUCUUAAUGGGGUGACUGCGUACCUUUUGUAUAAUGGGUCAGCGACUUAUAUUCUGUAGCAAGGUUAACCGAAUAGGGGAGCCGAAGGGAAACCGAGUCUUAACUGGGCGUUAAGUUGCAGGGUAUAGACCCGAAACCCGGUGAUCUAGCCAUGGGCAGGUUGAAGGUUGGGUAACACUAACUGGAGGACCGAACCGACUAAUGUUGAAAAAUUAGCGGAUGACUUGUGGCUGGGGGUGAAAGGCCAAUCAAACCGGGAGAUAGCUGGUUCUCCCCGAAAGCUAUUUAGGUAGC